rnacentral:rRNA from 1 species
UACAGAGGGUGCAAGCGUUAAUCGGAGUUACUGGGCGUAAAGGGCGCGUAGGCGGUCUAUUAAGUGAGAUGUGAAAUCCCUGGGCUUAACCUAGGAACUGCAUCUUAUACUGGUAGACUGGAGUACUGUAGAGGGUAGUGGAAUUUCCGGUGUAGCGGUGAAAUGCGUAGAGAUCGGAAGGAACACCAGUGGCGAAGGCGGCUACCUGGACAGAUACUGACGCUGAGGCGCGAGAGCGUGGGGAGCAAACAGG